rnacentral:tRNA from 1 species
CAAGGAAUAGUUUAUAAAAAAUUUUAAUUUUGGAGAUUAAAGAAGUAGGUUUUCCUAUUUCCUUGA